UACGUAGGUGGCGAGCGUUGUCCGGAUUUACUGGGCGUAAAGGGCGUGCAGGCGGUCUGUUAAGUCUAGGGUGAAAGCUCCCGGCUCAACUGGGAGAGGUCCUUGGAUACUGGCGGACUUGAGGGAGGCAGAGGAGAAUGGAAUUCCCGGUGUAGUGGUGAUAUGCGUAGAUAUCGGGAGGAACACCAGUGGCGAAGGCGGUUCUCUGGGCAUUACCUGACGCUGAGGAGCGAAAGUGUGGGGAGCGAACAGG
rnacentral:rRNA from 1 species